GGCUAAGGCACGGCCAGGAGGAGAAACAGUGGAAUGGAAGCGCGUGGUUGUGCAUUGCGGGCCGUCCCCAGGGCCUGGAGGACAGGGCGGAUCCAGGGCCGAGGAGACCAGAGCAGGAUUCUGGGAGGGCGCACAGGGGCACAUAGAGGGCAGAGCUGUGGCGGAUCCGCGGGCAGAGGCAUUUGCAGGAACCGAAGGAGCCUGAAGGACGGCCAAGCAGCUCUUUCCAGGUGAGCGGCCACACACAGCCGCACUCCUCGGGUCCCCCGGCUCGGCCCCGCCCCCGACCCAGCCNGAGUAAGGAGCCAGCUUCCCACCCAUUCCCAGCCAAGGUGAACAGGCUGCGAGUUUGUUGACAGAGAAAAAAGUCAUCAAUUUUUCAUUACCCAGUGAAGGCAACAGAAUGUCUCGGGAUGUCAACAGUUUCCAGGCAACAAAGACAAACCAAAUACACAGUCCCCUCACCUAAAAAGAUGUUUCCUUUACAACAUCAGCUUGGAUGGGGAGCCGGGGAAGACGAGAGGCAGAGGCAGGGGACUCAGCCGGAUGAUGAGCAGCCAAAUGCAGAGCCAAGCUUCUCACUUCUUUCUCCGGACGAAAACGCUUUCUGGAAACGAAGGUGCUGGGAAGAGAGAGUCAGCACCCACGUCCCCAGAGUAAAACAGGGAACUAGCGGAGGUGAGGUUAACCUGCAAUAUCCAACCAGCCCCUUCCUUCAGAAACCAGCCCUGGGGCAGGAAAGGGUCGUUAUUCCCAGUUUGCAAACAUGCACCAUCCCAUCCCGCCAGCUAGCGAGAGCGCUGGAGUCUCCCGGCGGAGACGGCUCCCUAACCCGGGCCCGAGCCCGCCAACGCUCCCCCACACCUGACGCGGGAGCUUUCGCUAGCGGGAUGGAUGGUGAGGAGCAUGCGCAAACGGCUCCGCGCCCCCGCGCGCACCCUAGUGGUCAACGGGCCUCGGUGCAAUUGAGAAGUUCGGCUUCCCUCGGCCACGCUCGGCUUUUAGCCCCGCCUCUCGCCCCGCCCACCCCCCAGCGCGGACGUUGA
rnacentral:lncRNA from 1 species